rnacentral:rRNA from 1 species
AUGCAGAUGGGCAAGAAUAUUCAAGAUGAUAUUCGAGAUGCACAUCGGUUUGCCUCAGGGGAACGUUCCCCAUUACGGGACGUAACAAACUCACCUUUAAAUGGAAAUGCAGAGAGUAGUUCUGCUGCUCAAAAGAAAAGUGGCCAAUCAUGGUACACCAGAUGGUCUGAUGACAAGAAAGAAGAGAUCCUCGAGAAGUGUCGUGUCGCCCGACAACAGAAGAAGGCUGCAGCCAUACGAAGUCUAAACCAUGCCCAGGAAUCAGAGGCACGUGCUUCUUCUGUAGGGUCUGAGCAAUGUAUCCCUUUGACCAACAUCACCAACACACAUAUAGAUGUUAUGGUAUGUACGACCGCAAGCUCCGCGGGUACUGUUCAUCUUCAUCAAGACAAUAUUUCAGGCAAGAAAAGAAGUGGACAAAUUUGGUAUGCUGGGCUAUCUGACGAGCGGCGCGCUGAGUACAUAAACAAACAGAAGAUGGCCCGACUCACACGGAUAGUUGCCUCUGUUAGGGUGAAUGUCCAAGUGCCUACACCAUCUGCCCCACAAGCUUCAUCGGCUCAUACCUCUGGUUGA